CCGCCUUCAGCCGACAUGCCCCAGCCAAGCCCAGAGGCCCGGCCCACAGCUGCGCUUCAGCACGGUGCUGCCACCACGCCUACCAUCGGUGUGGCGGGGGCAUAAUCCCCUAGGCGCAGACAUCCGCGCAGCUGCUGCUGUGGUUCCCAGAGUCAAAAUCCUUCAAUAAAAAUGAUUUUUCAGUUUCUGCAGUCAGCUACCCAUGCCACAGGACCAACCAAAGCCUCUGUAGAUACCAGCUCAGACACCAGCCUGCCUAUAGACAAGAUGGCCAGACUCUUCAUAAGUCAAAAGCCCAAGCUCUCCAAAGUGACCCUCCAGAAUCGCCAUGCACUGGACCUGUUGACAGCCUAAAAAGCCACCAGGUUCCAGAUGUUACCAUGAUGACAACCUGACUUCCCUGGGCAGACAACCCCACCAUGUGUUCUUGGAGCCCUACCUCCCCAGAGCAGUGCCCCACUAGGGAAAGGAGAGACAGGCUGGGAGUAUGGAUCUAUCUACCAACACCCAUGUUCAGCAGAGAAGCAGUUACAGAAGACAGACCUUCUACCUUCUGUACCCCAUAAUGAUCCUUGCUCCAUACUCCCAGAAGGAUAAUGAAUAGGAAAGCUUUCAAGGAAAGGGAUGGGAUACAGAGGUCUGGUGGUGGGAAUUGUGUGGAAUUGUACCCCUCUUAUCCUAUAGUCUUGUCAGUAUUUCCAUUUUAUAAAUAAAAAAGUAAAAAAAUAAAAUAAAAUUUUAGGCCAGGUGGUGGAACACCUGGUUAAUUGCUCAUAUUACAGUGCUCAAGAACCCAGGUUCAAGUUCUCUUCUCUGCCUGCAGGGGGAAAGUUUUGCGAGUGGUGAAGCAGGGCUGCAAGUAUCUCUUUGUGUCUCUCUCCCUCUCUACUCCUUCCCUCUCAGUCAAAUUAAAAAUUUGACCCAAAGAAGCAGUGGAACCA